AAGCAACGCCUGUUAGAAACUGUUGCGCAGUUUUCUUUAGUCAGGGUAUACGGUAUAAUGUCUCGGCACUAAGCAUAUAUACGCGCCAUAAUGCACUUUCUUGGCUUUGUCUGUUAAUGCGUGUAUAUUUCAAGUAUGUAUAUCCCAUCGCUAAAGUGAGUUGGUAAAUAACGCCGACAUUCAUAUAUAUCGAUUUUAUUGAGUUCCUGUAUCGUUAUCACAGUAUGCAAAAUUUUACAAAUUUUAUUACAGUUCUAUGUCUUAUAUCUUAUUGGUUGAAAUAUAAUUUUUACUAUAUUAAUCUAAACCGUUGUUUU